rnacentral:lncRNA from 1 species
CUGGAAACCUUUGCAGAACAUUGUUUUAUUACAAGACCAAACUUGGGACAAAGGGCAACUACAGGCAAAUGCAAAAAAAAAAGUGUAUAAUAACAGGGGAACAGACUGUUGUCAGGUUACAAAAACAAGCUAGGCUAGCAAUAUACUUGCUGUUAUUUCAUCUACACGUUUAUGUGUUCAUAUUUGGUGCCUUAAGUGUUAUGCUACAUAAGUGUCAUCCAUUGUGUGCAACCUAAGAAAUUCAAAGUGCAAAGUGCUGCAAAAUUAGAAAUGCUAAGGGCAGUGCAGGCACUCAAGCAGCAUCAGAAUGACUGAAAGUUAUACAUCUGCAUGAUAUGUCCUUGCUUUUAGUACAUAGCCAAUUAUGUGAACAUAUUCAAAACAGCCGUUUGUCUGUAUGAGGGAAUGAGCAAACAGCAAGUACAUCUCUAACAGUUUAGGCUGGGAAAGAAUCAGAACCAUUUUAGAAAAAGGUUGAGGUCUUUCAUGGGUAAUAAAAGCCUCCUCUUCAAACACCAGAUCAGUCACAUACAGUCAUGAAACAUUUCCUCAUGAUCUUCUUAUGUGUUUUGGCCUGGUGCAGAAGAAACAUAAAGCAGGUCAGUUAUCUCCUCUUCUAAUGGUAAUUGUGGUAGUCAUUGGUGGUGGGGAUACACCUUGGGUUGUUGGUGAAGGAGGCGGUGCUGAGGUUGUUGGAAGGCGUAGUUGUAGGCAUGGAAGAGAGGUGGAGGAAAUAACUUGCCAGACAUGGACAUCAUGGAAACACCUGAAAUAAAUCUCAUGUAUUUUUGCCCAGACCUUUGUUGCAUAAGAAACCUAGUGGUUGUAGUUGUUGGAGGCUUGGUUGCAGUUGCAGUUGUUGGGGGAGUGGUUGUAGUUUUUGGUGGUGGAGGAGGAGGUGGAGCUGGAGCUGGAGUUGUUGUUGGAGGUAAGGUUGUAAUUGUAGUUAAUGGUGGUGGAGGUACACCUGGGGUUGUUGGUGGAGGAGGUGGAGCUGGAGUUGUUGUUGGAGGUAAGGUUGUAAUUGUAGUUAAUGAUGGUGGAGGUACACCUGGGGAUGUUGGUGGAGGCGUGGUUUUAGUUGUAUCAGGAAGGUUGUAGUUGUGGGAGGGAUGUGGUGGAAUUAUCUUGUCAGACAUGGAUACCAUAGAAACAUCUGAAAUCAAUCUUCUUGUUUUUUUUUUGGCCUAGACUUGUAGUGUAGGUCAGUUAUCUCCUCUCCUAGUGGUGGUGGUUGUAGUUGGUGGUGGUGGGGGUAUACCUGGGGUUGUUGGAGGAGGAGGUGGAGGUGGGGUUGUUGUGGUAGUUGUUGUUGUUGUUGUUGGCGUGGUUGUGGUAGUUGGAGGCUUGGUUGUAGUUGUGGUUGUUGGUGUUGGGGGUAUACCUGGGGUUGGAGGAGGUGGAGGUGGGGUUGUUGUGGUAGUUGUUGUUGUUGGCGUAAUUGUGGUUGUUGGUGGUAUACCUGGGGUUGUUGGUGGAGGAGGUGGAGCUAGGGUUGUUGUUGGAGAUGUGGUUGUAGUUGUUGGUGGUGGAGGAGGUGGAGCUGGGGUUGUUGUUGGAGGCGGGGUUGUAGUUGUGGGAGGGAGGUAGAUGAAAUAUCUUGGCGGACAUGGACACCAUGGAAACAUCUGAAAUUAACAGAUUUCAAAGGUUAGUGGACCAGACACUCUUAAUUAACCUUUUCUUAGGUGUCCCUUAAACUGAGUCCCAACAUCCUUAAAUUUAGUUUUUAAACCUUUUUAUAAAAAGAAAUACAGUAGAGAUAUUUAUAAAUACACACAUACACACAUUAGAACGACAAUUUUUGUACUUUAUCAUUUAACACCAACACAUCAUUACAGCCCUCAUUUCUUCUAAACUGAAUCACACAGCGCUCUUUACAGAGUUAUUGUCUGACACAUUUUUUAUUAAGCAUGCUAACACUUCUUACUCUGCCACUCUCCACUGUUUAAAUUAGAGUGAAAGAUGCUAAAUAAUGAUCAGUCUGCAUGUUGACAUAUAUUUUAUGAUCUUGCUUUAGUAGUUAUUAACAGCAUUAUCAUUCCAGUGUAGAUUCAGUGUCGAAAAGUGUGAAUUCAGCCAACGUCUGUCAGUUUUCUCACCAGUAGGGGAACUCUCCGCUGAUAUGGAAAAACCUGAAAUGAAAAAAUCACAAACUUUGAUUACAUUUUUUGUAGUAACUCAUAACAUGUUCAGCAUGUAUUAUUAGAUAUUAAGGAAACAUGUUAAGUUUUAGCACCAGCACCAUGUCCUUAUUUGAACUGUGUGGUAUGUCAUGGUAAUCUGAUAGAUAGAUAGAUAGAUAGAUAGAUAGAUAGAUAGAUAGAUAGAUAGAUAGAUAGAUAGAUAGAUAGAUAGAUAGAUAGAUAGAUAGAUAGAUNAUCUGAGAAGGGUGUAUUUUUGUAAGUUCAUAUUCAUAAAGUUUUAAAAGUUUAGAAAUCAAUAUUUGCUGUAUUUUAAUCAUGUUUUUAAUGCAUCUUGGCAGGUUCUCCUCCACCAGUUUUACACACUGCUUUUGGAUAACUUUAUGCCACUCACUCCUGGUGCAAAAAUUAAAGCAUUUCAGCUUGGUUUGAUGGCUUAGUACUUAUUAAACAGUAAAAAUGUAAAUCCUGUCAACUUCUGCCACUUUCUCACCUGGAUUGGGGGAAAUCUCUGCUGAUUUGGAAACACCUGAAAUGAAAUAAUUUCAAAUAUUAAUAAACACUCCUCAUCUUAAUCA